rnacentral:tRNA from 1 species
GGAGGUGUUGCCAACAGGGGGCGGCGUAAGCGGCCGGAACGCCUACGAAAACCGCCCUCGGUUGCGCUGGACCACGCUCGCCGGAAGCCUCCGGCGGGCGGGUUCGAUUCCCGCCGCCUCCA